AUUGAACGCUGGCGGCAGGCCUAACACAUGCAAGUCGAGCGAGCGGCGGACGGGUGAGUAAUGUAUGGGGACUGCCCGAUAGAGGGGGAUAACUACUGGAAACGGUGGCUAAUACCGCAUACUAUCGGAUAACCCAUAUGGGAUUAGCUAGUAGGUGGGGUAAAUGUGCACCUAGGCGACGAUCUCUAGCUGGUCUGAGAGGAUGAUCAGCCAAACUGGGAGUGGGACACGGCCCAGACUCCUACGGAGGCAGCAGUGGGGAAUUUUGCACAAUGGGGGCAAGCCUGAUGCAGCCAUGCCGCGUGUAUGAAGAAGGCCUUGGGGUUGUAAAGUACUUUCAGCGGGGAGGCGUUACCCGCAGAAGAAGCACCGGCUAACUCCGUGCCAGCCGCCGCGGUAAUUC
rnacentral:rRNA from 1 species